rnacentral:rRNA from 1 species
GAUCUUUCGGGAUCUAGAGAGCGGCGUACGGGUGCGGAACACGUGUGCAACCUGCCUUUAUCAGGUGGAUAGCCUUUCGAAAGGAAGAUUAAUACCCCAUAAUAUUUAGAAUGGCAUCAUUUUAAAUUGAAAACUCCGGUGGAUAGAGAUGGGCACGCGCAAGAUUAGAUAGUUGGUGAGGUAACGGCUCACCAAGUCUGCGAUCUUUAGGGGGCCUGAGAGGGUGAUCCCCCACACUGGUACUGAGACACGGACCAGACUCCUACGGGAGGCAGCAGUGAGGAAUAUUGGACAAUGGGUGAGAGCCUGAUCCAGCCAUCCCGCGUGAAGGACGACGGCCCUAUGGGUUGUAAACUUCUUUUGUACAGGGAUAAACCUACCCUCGUGAGGGUAGCUGAAGGUACUGUACGAAUAAGCACCGGCUAACUCCGUGCCAGCAGCCGCGGUAAUACGGAGGGUGCAAGCGUUAUCCGGAUUUAUUGGGUUUAAAGGGUCCGUAGGCGGAUGUGUAAGUCAGUGGUGAAAUCUCACAGCUUAACUGUGAAACUGCCAUUGAUACUGCAUGUCUUGAGUGUUGUAGAAGUAGCUGGAAUAAGUAGUGUAGCGGUGAAAUGCAUAGAUAUGUC